rnacentral:lncRNA from 1 species
CCUUUCUGCUUUGUCAUCCGGAUCCAGUUCCACGCUUCACCUUUGGUUUUGAAGACUGGGAGACUUAAAGGAAUCUUUGACUUUGGGUACUCUCUACAGACUUGGCUCAUAGUCAGCUUCAGGCUCCUCCUGUGUAUAGUACCUCUGAGCACAAUACAUUGUCCCUUUUAGUUUCAGCUCCCAAGAGCCAAACUUGCCAUUAGCAUCCAGGCAGGGCCCACUUGGUUCCUCACUGAGGAGUGUUAGGCAACUACGGAGCUGGUAGGUUUGUCUUUUUGUUCCAGGUACAGAGUUGUUUAUCUGUCUAGAAAAGGCCAGGCAUUGGUCUUUUUGACGUGAAAAAAGUUCAAGCCAGAAAACGGGCAAGCUGCUGUGAGCAUGUAACAUCUGUGAUGUCACAAACGUCUGUUUACAGACAGAGAAUGUGGACUCAUUUUCUAAGCCCUUGAAGUGUCUAGGACAGCAGGCUGCAUGGCAAAGCAGGGAGAUACAUCUGCUGAAUUGAAUUCAGUAUACUCAAAAUUCAGAUAUUCCAUUUUGCCAAGAGAUGGCGGAUGUGAGCAUAUCUCUUCAGUUCAGACCAUAUUUACAUCGUUUAGCUAUGACAUGGGCCUGGAGUUUUCUCUGCUCAAUUCAGGCAUAACAAUCAGCUAGAUUGAAACUCAUUGUUUGCAUGCCAUUCAGAGAGGAUAAGUAGUUAAGAAGACCCUACACUGACAUCUGUCAAGGGUAUGCCAUUUCACCAUGUGACACAUAGAGUAAGCCCAUGGCAGUUUGAAAGGCAGAUGCAAUGUUCUCUGCUCUGCGAUCCCUGCUGUCAAGAGUCUGCUGUAUAAGAAAUCUGAAGUACAAUGAGGUUGAGAGACUUGCUCAAGUCCACACAUGCGUUAUGUGAUAGAGGCAGGAUUUGAAUCCAGGCAGUCUGUCUGCAGAGGCCCCAUUCAACAUCAUAGCCACGUGUUGUAUAGGGCAUUUUGAUGAGUGAAAAAGAGAAGAUGCUAUUUUGCUGCACUUAUUCACAUACACCGUGCAUCGCCAGCUUCCAGCACUGGAAAACUGCAGGCUCUUCCUCAAACCCACUACAGCAUAAUCCCCUGAUAGGCGUGGAACAGAGCUAAAAAUUUGUCAAUCUGAAAGGUAUAUUUUUAAAAAAUCAUG